GAGAGAUUGUGUGUAUGGGGAGAAGUGUGAGCGACAGAGACGCCAGUGUUGGCAGCGGUGUCAAUAGUGACUUUAACCCCAUUUAGUAGAGUUGGGACUUCGCCGUCAGAUUUUUGUGUGGCAGAAAAUGCAGCAUCCACCGGAGUGAAAUGUGCGGCGGAAGAACAGUUCUGCACUAGUUCUACAAACCAGACGCAGACGCGUGUCUACACUAGAAAGGAGUGUCAGCACCAAUAUAAUGAAGGUAUAGGACUCUCUAGAGAGGGCAGCGUGAGCUCAUUUGGAAUGGAUCCCGAAGUGCUGAGGAAUAUGCUGAUGGGUCUCGCCAGCAUGUCACAUUUGGCAGUUGAGUUACUCCUUAAGCUACAAACUGACAGUGAGGAGUCCGAUGAUAAUGUUGACUCGCAUAAUGCAUACAACACAAAAUUGCUUGUGGCAUUAACGGACAUUCUCACCACCGUGGAAUGCCACUUUUGGGCUCGGGAAACAAGCACUGAGUGGUGGGAGUCAUGCAAGUCUGGGAUGACGAGCAGUGGCUGCAGAACUUUCGGAUGAGAAAAGCCACUUUCCUGGGACUGAGUGAUGAGCUCGCCCCCAUCCUGUGGCACAAGGAAACGAGAUUGAGAGCUGCCCUGCCCGUGGAGAAGCGGGUGGCUAUUGCAAUCUGGAAGCUGGCAACUCCAGGCAGCUACCGAUCGGUCGCUAACCAAUUUGGAGUGGGAAAGUCGACCAUUGGAAUUGUGUUGAUGCAAGUUUGCAGGGCCAUUAAUCGCAUCCUGCUCAGAAGAACCAUGACUCUAG